rnacentral:rRNA from 1 species
UACAUGGGGUGCAAACGUUGCUCGGAAUUAUUGGGCGUAAAGCGCACGUAGGUGGUCUGUUAUGUCAGAUGUGAAAGCCCUCGGCUUAACUGAGGAAGUGCACCUGAAACUGGCAGGCUUGAGUACGAAAGAGGGUCGCGGAAUUCCCGGUGUAGAGGUGAAAUUCGUAGAUAUCGGGAGGAACACCAGUGGCGAAGGCGGCGAUCUGGGAAGAUACUGACGCUGAGGUGCGAAAGCGUGGGGAGCAAACAGG